rnacentral:misc_RNA from 1 species
GAAAUGCGAUAAGUAAUGUGAAUUGCAGAAUUCAGUGAAUCAUCGAAUCUUUGAACGCACAUUGCGCCCGCCAGUAUUCUGGCGGGCAUGCCUGUUCGAGCGUCAUUUCAACCAUCAAGCCCCCAGGCUUGUGUUGGGGACCUGCGGCUGCCGCAGGCCCCGAAAACCAGUGGCGGGCUCGCUGUCACACCGGGCGUAGUAGAUUUUUCGUCUCGCCCAGGGCGUGCUGCGGGUUCCGGCCGUUAAAAAGCCUCUCUUUUAACCCAAGGUUGACCUCGGAUCAGGUAGGAAGACCCGCUGAACUUAAGC